AGGCCUGUGCUGGGGCAGAAACACAGGAAGCCGCGCUGAGCAGGGCGCAGCAUUGUCAGCCUCGUAAAAAACAAAACAGGACAAAAAGAUUUAAGGAGAACAAUUAGCCCAAAGAAAAAGGAAAAAAAAAAAAAAGGCCAAAAAAACAAACAAAGCCAAACAGCCUGAAGGCAGGAGGCUGGCUGAGCUCCAAGGACCCCGUGUUUCCCCUCCCAACACAAUGUCGGUGGCUCCUGGGGAAGAAGGGUCCUUCCCAGUGGCUCCUCUGCUGAGUCUCCCAACUUCUAAGGCCCCCAAGGCUAGCCUGGCUCCCCCUGGUUCCCCUCCACAGCCUUGACCAAGGCCCAGCUCCGUAACCUCCACUGAAGGUUUUGGGGGACCCCUGUCUCCCCACGGCAUCAUUACUCCCCGGGGCCUGAGAGGGAGGCAUCCAGCCCCGUGGAAGAUAGAGCACAGGCCGUCCAGCCCUCAGAUGGAAACUCACCCCUCCCGGCCCCACUGCUCCCUGACUGUGAGAUUCUGUGCGGAGACAUGGCUCUUGAACUUCAGUCUCGUCACUAGUUGGCCGUCAUCACCAUCAGCCUCAGCCUCACCAGCCCACUGAGGUGGGGCGAAGCUUAAAUGAGUGGGUGCUUCAACUCUCACCCAGUAGGUGCUCCAUGCGUGCCGGCUGAACAAGAAGAAGGACCACUGAGCCAGGCGGAAGUUACGUGGAGGGGGUUUUCAGCUCAGUGUGAACAGUCAGAGAUGGACAAGACGUUCCUUAAGGGACAGAGCUCCCGGUGCUGGGACUACGGAGGACAGCCUACCUCUCGGGAGGGCAGCUGGAAGUGGCGGGACCCCAGGCCUCUCUCCAUUACCCAGAAGGGGACCAGGACUUGGGACAAAGCUAAUCGGGCUCUGGAACGCAGAGGCCACCCUUCAAGGCCCUCGGAACAUGAUGAAUGUGAAUGACCGUGGCAGAGUACAGGCCAUCCUGCAACGUGGGCCCGGCAGUUCCUGCCCAAGUUAGUGACCCAGGAGGCAGUGCAGGGCCCGAGCUGGGGCGUGAGGGAUGGGACGCUUAGAUGAGCCUGAUGUAGGCUCGGGGCUGGCCCCGGCCGUCAGGGAGGCCACACAGAGGAGAAGGAAGAGGCUGAUAGGAGAUGGCCUGGCGGUGAUAAAGUGGGUCGCUGUUCUACUCGGGGCACAAAGGUGUGCUGACGAGAAAGCCCAGCGUGUUCUGGGCGUAGGAACUGGGCCCACGUGACUGCAGUGGAACUUGGUGUCACCAAACAAGGGGAGAGUUGAUGGGAAAGAGACGUCGGAGCCAGAUCCCAGAGAGUCUUGACUGCCACGCCCAGGAGUCAGCUUGCGAUACUCCAGGCACCAGUGCCCACAGUUGCUUCUGAGCAGGACAGUGAUAGGUGUAGUUGGACCAUUUAGGGGGCCGUCUCUGGGCAGAGUAGGAAGACAGGGUGCAGGUGCACCAGGAAAGACCAACAGGGUGGGAGAUCGGGGAAGCUGGGGUCUGCUGACUUGGUUUCUUUCCUUUGGAACUCAGAAUCAAUGACCCAUACUGGGUGUUCAGUGAGUGUUUACUGAAUGAAUAACAACCACCUGAUGCUGAGA